rnacentral:rRNA from 1 species
UACGUAGGGGGCAAGCGUUGUUCGGAAUUACUGGGCGUAAAGGGCGCGUAGGCGGCACGGCAAGUCAGGAGUGAAAGCCCUGGGCUCAACCGAGGAACUGCUUUUGAGACUGCCGAGCUAGAGUGCAGAAGGGGCAACUGGAAUUCCCAGUGUAGCGGUGAAAUGCGUAGAUAUUGGGAAGAACACCUGAGGCGAAGGCGGGUUGCUGGGCUGACACUGACGCUGAGGCGCGAAAGCCAGGGGAGCAAACGGG